rnacentral:rRNA from 1 species
UAAGGAAUAUUGGACAAUGGCCGCAAGGCUGAUCCAGCCAUGCCGCGUGCAGGAUGACGGUGCUAUGCAUUGUAAACUGCUUUUAUCCGGGAAUAAACCCCCGAUUUCCAUCGGGGUUGAAUGUACCGGAAGAAUAAGGGUCGGCUAACUUCGUGCCAGCAGCCGCGGUAAUACGAAGGACCCAAGCGUUAUCCGGAUUCAUUGGGUUUAAAGGGUGCGUAGGCGGACUAUUAAGUCAGUGGUGAAAUCCUGCAGCUUAACUGUAGAAUUGCCAUUGAUACUGAUGGUCUUGAGUGCAGCUGAAGUGGGCGGAAUGUGUCAUGUAGCGGUGAAAUGCUUAGAUAUGACACAGAACACCAAUUGCGUAGGCAGCUCACUAAACUGUAACUGACGCUGAGGC